rnacentral:rRNA from 1 species
UACGUAGGAUGCAUGCGUUAAUCGGAAUUACUGGGCGUAAAGCGUGCGCAGGCGGUUUUGUAAGUCUGUCGUGAAAGCCCCGGGCUCAACCUGGGAAUUGCGAUGGAGACUGCAAGGCUUGAAUCUGGCAGAGGGGGGUAGAAUUCCACGUGUAGCAGUGAAAUGCGUAGAGAUGUGGAGGAACACCGAUGGCGAAGGCAGCCCCCUGGGUCAAGAUUGACGCUCAUGCACGAAAGCGUGGGGAGCAAACAGG